UUACCACCUGGGAGGACCAAUGCCUUCCACAGCCAACUUCAGCUGGGCCCAUUCAGUGCUUAAACUGUCUCAUAGAACCCAGCAGGCCUUACCAGCCAGCGUCCUUCUGCUGCUUCAGUUCAGAAGGGCAGGAACCUCAUAGACAGCCCUACGAUGCUAAAGACAGAGGACCUUCAUGCUCAGAAAAUGUAUUUUACAUCCAAGCUGGUUGAAUCUGUGGAUGUGGAACCCGUGGAUACAGAGGGCUGUCUGUAAUUUGUUGUCCAAACCAGGACACUUGAGAGUGAAAAGAGAUGCCAUUAAUAUUAUUCUGAAACAGAAGACCUAAAUUGGGACUGUCCCAAAUAAUCUAGGAUAUAUGUCAUCCAACUUCAAAGGAAGUCACAGGAAGGAGGUGGGAAACAAGGACUGUGACAUCAUCUUCUCCUGGGAGCCCAAGCACUUAACCAGCCACUACUAGCAAAGAGGCUCUGCAAUAAAGAGCACAGUGUGAACUGGAAUUCAGACAGCGGAAAGUUAGGACUAAAUAUACAUAUAUGUGUUUGUGGAGGUGUGCACACGCAUGCACAUGAACCAAGGGGUAGAUCUGAUGUGACCACAAUGAAAAAAAUAACCAACAAGAUGACAAGUUGACAGUGCCCUUCCAUAGCCCCAGCGAAGCCUCUUGCAUGUAGGGAAGGGAUUCAGAAGAGUCUAAAGACUCUUUGUGAAAUAGACUCCCUGCCAGCCACGCCUCCUCUGUGGCCAAAACCCCUGUGGAUGUCCACAGGAGAGCCAGGCCCGUUCACUGACCUGAUACUGCAGGAAGGUAGAGUGAUUCGUGAACACUGGUGGAGGUGGAUAGUUCAGGUUGAGCCAGAGUGGCUGGUUCAGGGUUGCUGAGGUCAAGGCUGUAGCAAAGUGUGGAGUGAAAACAUUCCCUGUGUACUUCGGGUUGUUCUUGUCAGCAACCGUCACAGGUGCGUUAACUGCAAGUCACAGGAGAGGUAAAGCGGGUCAGUAAUGGAGGCAGGGAAAGGCCAGGACACCUUCAGCAUCACAACUUCCCUGGGGAUUCGCAGUCUCACAGGUCAGGUCCUUUAAGCUCCAAGAGGGUUCUUCAAAGUCCUAGUACAUUUCCAACUAUAGGUAAACAUCAUUAGUUCACACCUUGCCAAUUUGGAAGGGAUGAAAAUCCCAGAAGGUCUGGCUUGGAGCUUUUCUUUCCAUCAUUCACUAGUAAAGAAGGCAGUUUAGCAAGGGAAUACAAUAAGCCAGAUUGCUAGGGCUAUAUUUCACCUACUUACAAAAUGAAAUUCUUUCAACUGCUUUGGAAAAAUCCAACUUUAUGUGAACCACUGCUAUGCCAUUGGAAUUCAUCCUUAUCAAAUGAUUAAAGCAGCCCUCCCUAAGGACAUAUAUUUGGCAACACUAAGAAACUUUCACAGGUUGUUGUAUCUAUAUGGGAAUUAAAAAAUAUAUAUUUUAAAACAUUAAA